CCCGGCUCUCCAGGGGCUGCCUCUCUUUGUCUGUCUCUCUCCUCUAGGCGUUAGGCCAGGUUCACACAUACUCCGUUUGCAGUGCGUAUGCUGUGCGUAUUUUUAACCCUGCCCAUGUUAACAGAGCAUUCACACUGCAUAUGGAUGCGGUUACAGGAGCGGAGUGGUGCGGUUAUGCAGUGCAUUACAGGAGCGGAGCGGUGCGGUUCUGCAGUGCGUUACAGGAGCGCAGCGGUGCGGUGCACCAGUGCAUUACAGGAGCGUGGCGGUGAGGUUCUGCAGUGCGUUACAGGAGCGGAGCGGUGCGGUUCUGCAGUGCGUUACAGGAACGCAGCGGUGCGGUUCUGCAGUGCGUCACAGGAGCGCAGCGGUGCGGUGCACCAGUGCAUUACAGGAGCGGAGCGGUGCGGUUCUGCAGUGCGUUACAGGAGCGGUGCGGUUCUGCAGUGCGUUACAGGAACGCAGCGGUGCGGUGCACCAGUGCAUUACAGGAGCGGAGCAGCACACACCAUUGUACUUUCACAUAAGGGUUCGGCCAAAGUUCGGUCUGGAUUCGAACGCGGGUCGAACACUUCAGAAGCUGCUUUGCGGUGCCACACGCCACUGUAGACGUUAAGUAGUGCUCGUCUUGUUUAAUCUUGUGUGGCCCAACCAGACAUUUCCCUCCGUUUUCGGCAAUGUAAAAAAAGAAAAGAAAAAUAAUUGUUUGGUGCGCAUGGGCCCCUGGUCCUGUGCCCAUAAUGCCCAUUGGAUAAACCGGCCCCGUAGCCUAUGUAAAACCACCAUUUGUCAACACGUAGCAUUAUUUAGCUUUUUGAAAGUUUUUUUUAUAGUCAUUAAUUAAUCAUUUUUGUGACUUUUUAGGGUUUGUGAUAUUCAGAAUUCUAACAUUAAGUUUAAAAUUAAAUCUAAGCAUAUGGAGAUGCAAGAAAAGGGUAUGAAGUUAAAGGAGCAAGUAUAGUGAUUAAAAGGGUAGGGUCUGAGUGGUGGGUAGGUAUGUAGGAAGUGUAUUGGAGGGAAUGUAUUUGGGGAUAUUUGGGGAUUAAUGGGUGGGGGUUGAGUUGUAGUGUAUAAGGAUUGUUGGAUAGGGUUGGUGGAGGGAAUGUAUUUAGGGAUUAAUGGGUGGGGGUUGCGUGAAUGGAGUGUAUUUAAAGAUGAGUGGUUACAGCUUGAGUUGAGGGAGUGAAUUUAGGGAUCAGAGGUUAGGGGCUGAGUGGAGGGAAUGUGUA
ensembl:lncRNA